rnacentral:rRNA from 1 species
GACGAACCGUGCGAACGUUUAUUCGGAAUCACUGGGCUUAAAGCGCGUGUAGGCGGGCCGGCACGUCGACUGCUGAAAUCCCCCGGCUCAACCGGGGAAGGGGCAUCGAUACGACCGGGCCUGGAGGGGGGGUAGGGGGGGACGGGAACUUCCGGUGGAGCGGUGAAAUGCGCAGAUAUCAGGAGGAACACCGACGGGCGAAAGGCAGCUUACUGGGGCCGAUACUGACUGAGGAGCGAAAAGCGUGGGGGGAGCAAACAGG